rnacentral:rRNA from 1 species
UACGUAGGUGACAAGCGUUGUCCGGAUUUACUGGGCGUAAAGAGCGCGCAGGCGGUUGAUCAAGUCGAGUGUGAAAGCCCCCGGCUCAACUGGGGAGGGUCAUUCGAAACUGGUCGACUCGAAGGCAGGAGAGGGUAGUGGAAUUCCCGGUGUAGUGGUGAAAUGCGUAGAUAUCGGGAGGAACACCAGUGGCGAAGGCGACUACCUGGCCUGUUUCUUGACGCUGAGGCGCGAAAGCUAGGGGAGCAAACGGG